rnacentral:rRNA from 1 species
AGUGAACGCUGGCGGUAGGCCUAACACAUGCAAGUCGAACGGCAGCACAGUAAGAGCUUGCUCUUACGGGUGGCGAGUGGCGGACGGGUGAGGAAUACAUCGGAAUCUACUUUUUCGUGGGGGAUAACGUAGGGAAACUUACGCUAAUACCGCAUACGACCUACGGGUGAAAGCAGGGGGUCUUCGGACCUUGCGCGAUUGAAUGAGCCGAUGUCGGAUUAGCUAGUUGGCGGGGUAAAGGCCCACCAAGGCGACGAUCCGUAGCUGGUCUGAGAGGAUGAUCAGCCACACUGGAACUGAGACACGGUCCAGACUCCUACGGGAGGCAGCAGUGGGGAAUAUUGGACAAUGGGCGCAAGCCUGAUCCAGCCAUACCGCGUGGGUGAAGAAGGCCUUCGGGUUGUAAAGCCCUCUUGUUGGGAAAGAAAAGCAGCAGGUUAAUACCCCGCUGUUCUGACGGUACCCAAAGAAUAAGCACUGGCUAACUUCGUG